CGGCAGCAGCUCAAAUUUGAAAUCGGCCCCCCGGCCGAGUUGUAAUUUGCAGAGGAUGCUUCGGGGCAACGGCCGGUCUAAGUUCCUUGGAACAGGACGUCACAGAGGGUGAGAAUCCCGUACGUGACCGGCGUCGUACCCCGCACGAAGCUCCUUCGAC
rnacentral:rRNA from 1 species